CUUGCCUUAUUCACCCAUUCUCUUUCUAUGUAAGUGCUGUCUGUUUACCUAAUAUUCACACACAUUCAUGUUAGAAUGGGGGUUAGUAUCCUGCAAGGAUAUUUAGCAUGCAGACUGGAGGGAUCGAACCACCAACCUUGCAAUUAGCAGAUGACCUGCUCUACUACCUGAGCUUCAGCCUCCCCCAUUCAUCGGGAUGUAUUUGCUUCCCAAUGGUUACACAGAUUAUGGUACUGCGUUAACAAACAGCUGAUUGUUCCACAUGUGCAUAUGGCCCAAAAUUCUGGUUUUGUAGAGGUGGUAACGUUUGCUGAUGAUCAAUUAAUCUAGUGCAUUUCAUUAACAGCACCUGGCUGCUACUUAUCUUAUUGAUUCCUAUGGAAGUAGUUUUCAUAGCAGAAAUAUUUACCAGGGAUAUAAUUAUCAAAUGUCAUAUGUCUCUGUAACACAGACAAAUACCCAUCCCUCUUUCUUCAUUUAUACACUAACUUAGCUCCAUCUCAGGCUAUUUUUUAAAGUUGUAAAGUUUAGACCAGUGUUUGAUCAGUGUCAUGAGCUGUGGUCUGUGACUGGAGUUUAGCUGCUCUUUUGCUAAGCUCUGACAGGUCGGGUGUUCAGAGGGCAGUGAAGGCCAUGUGUCUGAAAAUGCUCAACUUGUUUUUGUUGGAUCCAGUCAGCAUGGUGAAAAAAGCAAUGUGGACAACAGAACAGGAUAACCGCUCUGAUAGAACAGCAGAAGGAAGCGGUGGUGCAGUGGGUUGAGGGGCAGUGCCACGGGGAGGCUGGUGGACACAGCUGAUGAUGGUUAUCCAACUGUGCCUUUUCAGUAGCGUACUGGGACCGGGCGAGGAGAGGAGGACAGGAGAGACGGGGCUGCAGCUGUGCAUCAAAGCUGGAGCCGUGCUGGCUGUGUAUACGAGGGCAGCUAUCACUUCGCAGCAGAUGGCCCCGCCCCUCCC